rnacentral:lncRNA from 1 species
GGCAUGUACUGGGUGUGUUGGCCGCAGGGAGAGAAGAAAUAGCCCUGCAAAAAGCAGAAGGAGCUCCUGAGGAAGGAAAAGGAAUGACCGGAAUACGACAUGGCAGCGUUGUGUGUUACAGAAAGAACCAGGGAGAGCCUGUGCCCGUCAAGAGGAGGAUAAAGAAACAGUAGAUCUGCAACUAACAAGACCUUGGGGUCAUUCUGAGACUGACAGGCCAAGAAACCUCAUUUUGUGAUAAAAACUUGGCUGUUUUCUGCUUUUUCCCCCACCUUGCCAAAGAAGCCCACUCUUGGAAGGUUCUGCAGCUUUUCCAUCCUGCAGAGGUGAGUGAUGGUCUUCCCUGGGGACACCCCGGCUCCUUGUGCUGAGAUGG